rnacentral:rRNA from 1 species
CCUACGGGAGGCAGCAGUAGGGAAUCUUUCACAAUGGGCGAAAGCCUGAUGGAGCAACGCCGCGUGCAGGAUGAAGGCCUUCGGGUUGUAAACUGCUUUUAUAAGCGAGAGAUAUGAUGGUAACUUAUGAAUAAGGAUCGGCUAACUACGUGCCAGCAGCCGCGGUCAUACGUAGGAUCCGAGCAUUAUCAGGAGUGACUGGGUGUAAAGAGUUGCGUAGGUGGCAUAAUAAGUAGCUAGUGAAAUCUGGUGGCUCAACCAUUCAGACUAUUAGCUAAACUGUUAAGCUCGAGACCGUUAGGGGUAACUGGAAUUUCUAGGGUAGGAGUGAAAUCCGUAGAUAUUAGAAGGAACACCAAUAGCGUAGGCAGGUUGCUGGGACGGUUCUGACACUAAGGCACGAAAGCGUAGGGAGCAAACAGGAUUAGAUACCCCAGUAGUC